rnacentral:rRNA from 1 species
UGGGGAAUAUUGCGCAAUGGGCGAAAGCCUGACGCAGCGACGCCGCGUGGGGGAUGAAGGCCUUCGGGUUGUAAACCCCUUUCAGCAGGGACGAAGCGAAAGUGACGGUACCUGCAGAAGAAGCGCCGGCUAACUACGUGCCAGCAGCCGCGGUAACACGUAGGGCGCAAGCGUUGUCCGGAAUUAUUGGGCGUAAAGAGCUCGUAGGCGGUCUGUUGCGUCCGCUGUGAAAACUCGGGGCUUAACCCCGAGCCUGCAGUGGAUACGGGCAGGCUAGAGGUAGGUAGGGGAGAAUGGAAUUCCCGGUGUAGCGGUGAAAUGCGCAGAUAUCGGGAGGAACACCGGUGGCGAAGGCGGUUCUCUGGGCCUUACCUGACGCUGAGGAGCGAAAGCGUGGGGAGCGAACAGGAUUAGAUACCCUGGUAGUCCACGCCGUAAACGUUGGGCGCUAGGUGUGGGAUCCUUCCACGGAUUCCGUGCCGCAGCUAACGCAUUAAGCGCCCCGCCUGGGGAGUACGGCCGCAAGGCUA